rnacentral:lncRNA from 1 species
UACAUCAUAGUAAAACCUAAAAGGGCAUAUUAAUAUAAGAAAUAACACAAUAUUUCAAUACAAAAAUAUAUCAAAGUGUACUAUAGUUUUACAAACUAAAUUGAAAUGUCAUUCACUUCAACCAUUACGAUUACAAGAAACUUCAAAUCUUGCUUGAACUUCAAAUCACUACAAAAACUUGCUUAAACUUCAAAUCACUAGCAUCCAAACUCAAGAUAGGAUCUGCAACAGUUCAUGAAACUCAGCGGAUUUCACUACGAUAUCACCUGGCUGCAAAGAGAAAUACACAAUAAGCGACUUCAUCCAAACUCAAAACAUGGAUGAAUAUAGCAUACUUGAUGAAUUUAGUACUACCAGCCAGUUAAGUUAUAUGGUGGAAUAAGACAUGUUAGUUGACAAGAAUAUAUUACAACAAUAACAACAUAAUACACAGUGAAAUUUCACAAGCGGGUUUGGGAAAGGUAGAAUAUACGCACAAGUAAUGACUUAUCCCCAGUUACGCUUGUCAGGGAGCAAAAGGAAAACAAUUACUAUUGUUUAUGUCCAGCCAAAUAAUACAACUUACAGAGUUAAGAGCCUGCUCAAGAAAUACAUCAGUAGCUACCUUUUUGUGUAACUCAAACCAAUUGGGUCUGCGAUGGCCACAAGCCACUACUCCCCUGUACUAAUUUUACUUUUUAAUGAAAUGCUUCAUAUUUCCUUACCAAAAAAAAAGUAACAACAAAUGGGUCCUAGUUAGAUAAAGUCUAAAGAUUAAUUCAUUGGGAAAAGAAAUUAAUUAGUAAUAUCUAUAUGGCUAGAUCUCACAUUAGUUGUACACUGAAAUGUACCUCUAAUCCUUAAUUCUUUGAAGUAUCAAAGUUCCAGAGAAAAAGAUUUUACUUACCAAUGCCAACCACCUUGCUAUGCCUAUAUAACAUAAUUAUAGGUGCAGUAAGUUCUCAAGACAAUGUAAAAUAUUCAUUAAACAACACCAACAACUAUAUAAAAGCUAUAACUUGAAAUGUAAAAGUCCAACUAGUGAAUUAGAAAAUACCAGUUACUAUUCAGAUGAUCAAUUAUAAUUUUUUGAAAAGGCACAAUUACUAAAAAUAAUGUGACCUCUCAAAACUGAACAUGAGUCUAAUGAUGCUUAGGAUUGGGUCUGUUGGGAGAAAUUGAAUUUUGCUUGCAAAAAGAGUCCACUGGCCAUCCAAGAUGUAAUCUUGGCAAUAAUCUUGUCCACUAAGGGUUUAAUUGGACUAUUGUAAGCCUUUUAGGUGUCGUUUAAUACAAAGAUUAAUAAUGUAGGGAUUAGUAAUGCAAGGUUCCUUAGUAAAAUUGUUUGGCACACCUAGAUAUUUGAAACAGAGUUCUCCAACCUCAUAUCCAAGCAUAGUCAAGAUGGUUUCCUUAGUAAAUUUGUUAAUACCUUCAAAACAUACCUGACUUUUCAAAAUGAUGGUCUUCAAAUCAGAAGCAUCAGAAAACAUAUUGAAUUUACCCCUCGAUAGUUGUAGUUGUAUAGAUCUGACAUCUCAUCUAGUAAAUAUAGUAAGUCAACAGCAACAAAGUACUGAUUCAAAACUGAUGUCAACAUCUAGAUGGAAAAAAAUGUUUCAUCAAACUUUCUUAGUUGUAAAUCAGCACAACUACAAAGAAAAAAGACAUUCUUGCAACUCUUCCAAAUCUGUUUGGGUUAAAGGAAUUUUGCAUUUAACUAUCAUUCCAUCUUCACUAACUAUCUAAAGGACAAAAUCAAAUAAAAAAAUACAAUAAACUCACAAGAUUUGUAGAGCGUCGCAGAACUUGAGCGAGUUGUGCAUGACUGCUUAUAAGAGCUUUUAUCUUCUUCAACAAUGCAGCCACAAAUAUUGACACUAUAGCACGAAAAAAUAGUGCAAACUGUCUUAAAGAAAGAUCUCAUCAGAAAAAUGAGAACCAAAUUUAAAAAGAAUAGCUGAAAAGUAGAUGAAACUUACGGAAAUAGCUGGGAAUAUAGACGAAAUCAGGUUCAGUAAUGUGGGAGGAGAUAGUGGUGGGAGUGACGUCUUUGGGAUCGGUGGCAAAAGGGAUGGUUGGGUUUGGGGACAAUUCCAGUUGUUGGGGAUGAUCGUAACAUGUAUACUCAAUAUACUCGAUAUGGUUAGUCAAUCGAUAAAGUGAAACAACCUUAUGGUGCUACUUCUAAUCCUACACAGGCUGAUGACGCGACAAGAAAGAACAGUUCAUCAUCAAACAAGUUGAAAACACCACAUUUCUCCAAUAUCACCACCUUAUAACAUAGAAACAAAUAUCAUAUCUCUCAAAUUUACCAGAUUCACUUACAACUAACAAAAAUCAAUUAAGAAGUUAAUCUAUCCAACCAAAAAAUCAAUUACUAGCAAGUUAUUCUCUAUGUAAACCUUAUUUAAUUAGAUUAUCCAUAUUGAAACCCUAAAGAAUCGAAGUUUAGGGGAAAUCCAAAAAGUACAAUAGUUAUAAACCUUAGAAAGAGCUGAAGCUUCUCCAUGGUGCAGGACGUAGGGCAACGAGCCUAUUGGAGCAUUCUUUUACUCCAAAAUCGGCGAAGAUAUUGCAGAUUUUCUGAAACUAAAAUAGAUUCAAAAUACAAAUCUCAAAACUUUUUACAAACAAUUUGAAGUUGAGAAAAAAAAAAUCAGUUGAUUUAUAGAUUGAAAAUGCAUGAAAAUGAGGAAAAGAGAACUCAUUUUUGAAGCUUUCGAUGUCUAAAUUAAGGAGCAAUUGUUAAAUAGAGAGAAAUUGGGAAGUAAGAGAGGAGAAGAGAAGUAUGAACCAACGAUACCGCCAAUCGCCACCGCCGCCUCCAUCUUUUCCUACUCCGACCACUGUUAUUGUGGAUGAAGACAGUGAUAGCUCCGCCACCAUGGAUUCGCCACCGUGCCGCCUCCAUCACUUCCUACUCCAACCCUAAUUAUCAUAUGAAAAUUGAUCAGUUCGGGAUCGCAGAAAAUAGAAUGAAACUUUUUUUUAUUUGGGGAUUAAAUGAGCAACGAUAUAAAAUUUUAUUUUUUAGGAUAGCGGCGGGUAAUAACCCCACAAAUUCUACUAAAAUUAUAGGGGUUAAUCAAACCUCCGUAAUUUGAUGUAAUUUGUGGGGGUUGAGUUAACCUCCAUUAUAAAACCUCUAGGAUUUAAGUGUUUUUUUGUAGUGGAUGUAGCACUAUGUACAGGGUGGUGAAGGAAUGAUCUCUUGAUAGCUCAAAAGUAGCCACAAUCUUUCCUUCUUCUUUUUGAUUAAUUUGAUGAACUAAACACAUACUAGAUAAAUAGUUAAAUACCUUACUGAACAACCUUUUGUUCUGUCGUGAGUCUUGUCAACACCCUCACCCCUCUCUGUACAGCAACUCAUCUUCAUAUAAGCUAUUGCUUAAAUUGUUUAUAAGUUUUUCAAGUGAUAAUCAUUGUUUACAUCAUCUUCCAAAAUUUAGAUCUUUUUCUUCUUUUUUUGUUUCAUUUACAAAAGACUACAUGACUUCAUUUUCAACUUUCAAGAUUUUAUUUUAAACUAUUUGUGUGAUCAGCUAUACUUUUAAGUUCUUGCUAAAAAUAACCAUAUAUUACCCCAAUUGCAAAAAUAUCAAUUAUAUUAGCAAUUUGUGAGUCUUAGUAAUUCUGUUAGUUUUUUCUUUCUUCGAUCUUGUGUUAUUUUUAGCGAUACAAAUACAACUGGUAUUUUAGAGGAAAAAUAUCCUUUUCAUGGUACUUUUCAGAGUGGAACCAAAUAGUAGUGUGGAGGAAUUUCGAAUUGUAAAAUGAUCUGAAAGGGUUACCACUAGGAUCUACCAGAAGUUAACUAUUACAAACUGAUUUUACUUUGAAUGCCAAAGAAGUCUAAAUUUGCUAUAUCUGUUUGGCUGUUGUAAAAAUAGGCUCGAGAAUGUUCUAUAAAAAGAAAAUAAUAGUGGUGUUGUUUGUUAUACAUUAAUAAUGCAGAAAUAUCAUUUGUUCUAGUUAUCAGGCUCUAUUGCACUAGCUCGUCGCGGUGAAUGUGAAUUUAUAACCAAGGCCACGGUUGCCCAAGAAGGAGGUGCAGGAGGUGUUGUGUUAAUAAAUAAUGAAGGAGGUUGUAACCCUGACUCACAUUGUCAUCUUAGGUCUCAAGGUCUGUUUUAUAUGUUUCCCUUCAUCUCUUUCUGAUAUGACACUGCUUUUUCUUGCAUUUAUUUAGGUCCUCUGGAAAUUGCUUGUCCUAAUAAUUCUACCAUAUCAAAUGUAACCAUUCCUGUUGUUUCAAUUUCAAAAGAGGGGGCAGAUAUUAUUGAUAAAUACAUCAAUUCAGGAAAGAAAGGUAAGCCCUGGCCUCAUAUAUAUUGCUUAGAUGUUUUGAUAACGGUUAGCUUUCUUUUGGAUUCUAAUUUUGGUUGUCAAGAUGUUGAUUAGCUUGUGUUGUAAUCUACUUUUUUUAUAUUACAUGCAUUAUAAUUCAUUUUAAUGAGUGCUUUUGAAGUAUGAAAAUAUAUUUAUUAUAUAUCAUUGAGAUGUAAUCCCAUUUCUUGCUGGUUAACUUUUGGUGCAAACAAGAGGUCCUUGUUGCAUAUAUUAUUGGGUGUAUUCUGUAGGAACCGUAUGCCAUUUGUGUGUUUGUAGAAAGCUUUUAGAUGAUUCUUCAUCUAUUUAUGGUUGGAUAUCGAUGAUGUGCAUUCACUGCAAAAGGCAUGUCAGGUUAAUACUUUGAAAAAGCAGUUAAGCAAUGAGUUUGGGAUGAAGGUUUAGUGUGAUGCAACGAAGAUAGAAGAUCGGAGAUUGAUUUUCUCUUCAAAGUGUCAGUGGUAGCUGAUGAGAAUGUGGACUUAAACGCAGUGUGGCUAACAUCAAAUGGCUUUUUUAAUUGCAAACAAUUAUAGUGCCUCUGUAAUUGAUGCAUAUCUUUUGUUCUGAUCUUCUUAUUUCUUGUUGUUUGUUUUAUUUCACUUGGAAUACUUUUGAUAUAUGGAAUCCUUUUCUUGAUCCAGUGGAGCUGCUGUUAUAUUCGCCAGAUCGCCCUAUUGUGGACUACUCGGUGUCUUUCAUAUGGUUGAUGGCUGUUGGAACAAUCAUUUGUGCAGCUCUUUGGAAAAAGUUUACUCAAUCUAAGGAAAGUGACGACUAUGAACUAUCACAAGAGGCCCCCUGCCNNNNNNNNNNNNNNNNNNNNNNNNNNNNNNNNNNNNNNNNNNNNNNNNNNNNNNNNNNNNNNNNNNNNNNNNNNNNNNNNNNNNNNNNNNNNNNNNNNNNNNNNNNNNNNNNNNNNNNNNNNNNNNNNNNNNNNNNNNNNNNNNNNNNNNNNNNNNNNNNNNNNNNNNNNNNNNNNNNNNNNNNNNNNNNNNNNNNNNNNNNNNNNNNNNNNNNNNNNNNNNNNNNNNNNNNNNNNNNNNNNNNNNNNNNNNNNNNNNNNNNNNNNNNNNNNNNNNNNNNNNNNNNNNNNNNNNNNNNNNNNNNNNNNNNNNNNNNNNNNNNNNNNNNNNNNNNNNNNNNNNNNNNNNNNNNNNNNNNNNNNNNNNNNNNNNNNNNNNNNNNNNNNNNNNNNNNNNNNNNNNNNNNNNNNNNNNNNNNNNNNNNNNNNNNNNNNNNNNNNNNNNNNNNNNNNNNNNNNNNNNNNNNNNNNNNNNNNNNNNNNNNNNNNNNNNNNNNNNNNNNNNNNNNNNNNNNNNNNNNNNNNNNNNNNNNNNNNNNNNNNNNNNNNNNNNNNNNNNNNNNNNNNNNNNNNNNNNNNNNNNNNNNNNNNNNNNNNNNNNNNNNNNNNNNNNNNNNNNNNNNNNNNNNNNNNNNNNNNNNNNNNNNNNNNNNNNNNNNNNNNNNNNNNNNNNNNNNNNNNNNNNNNNNNNNNNNNNNNNNNNNNNNNNNNNNNNNNNNNNNNNNNNNNNNNNNNNNNNNNNNNNNNNNNNNNNNNNNNNNNNNNNNNNNNNNNNNNNNNNNNNNNNNNNNNNNNNNNNNNNNNNNNNNNNNNNNNNNNNNNNNNNNNNNNNNNNNNNNNNNNNNNNNNNNNNNNNNNNNNNNNNNNNNNNNNNNNNNNNNNNNNNNNNNNNNNNNNNNNNNNNNNNNNNNNNNNGCCCCCCCCCCCCCCCCCCACACACAAAAAAAAAGCUGUCUGAUAUAAUCUCAAAUUUGGCAUGCUCAGCUUCUUAUAUUCUUUUAAAUUCAGUUAGUAGCAUUCUCAACAUUGAUUUUGUUUGGGCUAUUUGUCUAAGCUAUUCAGCACUGCAUCUUGAUGAUAAUGUAGUAAAUUUAGUUUACUUUGGCUGUUGGAUUUUAGGUAACAUAAUUGAUAAUAGUUGUUGGUCUUUCAAAACUUAGCUGCCUGUGUCACAUGAGCUGCCCCAGAAGUUAACAUACAUAUGUCUGUGUAAUCUUUUCACUACUCUGCCCUUUGCUUUUCCAAAUAAUUUAUCCUUGAUACAUACUUCCUUUGGAUACUUUAGUUCCUGACCAGUGCAAUGCUUACAUUUUUCCCUUCACUACCAAUAAUAGGGUGUCACCUACAAAGCAUCUCCAGCGAAAAAAGAGGUAUGCUGAAGCUAAACUGGAUCCAGUAAAUCAAGAAUUUAAAAGGAAUGGAAUAGAAUGGGCUUUCUAAGUAUACUUGGCCAGAUUGAUGGAAAAACUUUUGACAUCGAGGAGAUGGCUUGUUCUAUAGAUCCUUUUCCCUUAACGACAAAGGUAAAGGUGUGUGAGAGACAUAUUUAUCCAGAGAAGAAAUUGGAGAGGUCUUUCCCAUUUUGGAGGAUCUCAAAAACUGUCGACAAUCUUUGUGGUGACACGACUCAAAUAUUAAAGGCCUGUUUGGUUGGUGGAGCUACAAUAUAUUGACUGAGUGGAAAUGGUGUAGUGUUAGAAGACCUAAUAUUCUCAAGAGUGUCGCAAGGUGUGUAAUUUUGAAAAUUGCUAUAUUUAAUAGGGAAGAGGAUGAGAAGGAAUAGAAAAGCUUGAUCAAUCCCUCAAGCUUAGUUGGAAAUUAUAGUAAUUACAAGUACUUACAAUUUGGUAAGUGUAUAAUUCAAGAUCAAAUCAAAUCAGAUGUAAUCUUAUUAAAUCCCUAAUCAAGCUAAUAAAAUUAAAUAAACCCUAAUCAAUAUAAAUCUUGUCAUAUCUUAACACACUAAUUUUGUGGAACUCCUUGUUUGUGUUAAAAUACAAAUUAUCUAGUAUUGGUAUGAAAUAUCCCCGAAUAGAGCGGGGAAUGGAACUGAAGAUUCAUAUAUGACCUUAGUUGAUCUGAUUUAAAUAUAGUUGAACGAGUGAUCUAUUUAUAUCUAUGAUUUAUAUUUGUAUGUUAUGAGCGUACUGUGAACAUGUCUUUCUUGGUUUUCCUACUUCUAAUUCUUGUGUCAAAUAUUGAUAACACCCAAUGAUGCCUUGCUUGAUUAAUAGCUGUAAUGUCUUAAAAAGUGUAUGGUCACCUUACAGGAUGAUGAUAUGACCGUCAAGGAGGAGGAUGACAGUGAAAUUCUGCACAUUACUGCAUGGACUGCUAUUGGAUUUGUCAUCUCAGCAUCCACAUUUCUGGUGCUGCUUUACUUUUUCAUGUCCACGUGGUUUGUCUGGCUGCUGAUAUUGCUUUUCUGUAUCGGUGGAAUCGAGGUAUUCAAGUUCGUUCUUUCUCCUUCUUCUUUCGUCUAAGCCAAUACAAUUUGGUCUGAUAAAACCAUCUCAUUUCAUGGCACUGCUUAUUUAUGCUUUAUUGUUGAAUUAGGUUAUAGUUUGGGGCCAUGCAUCUAGUAUCUGACAAAUGAGCAAGAUAAUGAUAUCAUGCAUCUGUUUGUAUAGUAUGCAAAGAAAAUGGAAUAUAAUGUCUAAAGAUUUUUAGAAAAAAUGUGUUUGUCAAUGCCUAAUAAUAUAUAGUUUGAUGUAUUUUUUGAAUGAUUAUGUUACUGAACUAUAAUAUUCCUCCUUACAAUAUUUUCCAUGCCGUGUUUAUAGUAGUUUUUCCUGCUAAUCUAAAACUACUCAGGAAAAUGAUACAACUUUGUGCUUCGGUAGUAAAUGUUUCAUAGCUGGUCUAAUCUAGCAUUCAAGUGGACAAAUCUUUUGUCAUGCUCCCACUCCCUGCCUUAGAGCCCUGAUAAAAAUAUUCAAAGAAGCUUCUGGGACAGGGAGUGUUAGCUCCUGGAUGAUGGAUACAAUCACAUACCAUGAUGACUAAAAAAGUAGAUGAUCAAAACAACUUUUUCUUCAGAUCUAGGGAACUCUCAAGUCUUCACUAGUAAUCAUUGCUUCCCGAACUUCAAACGUAGAGCUUGGAAAUAGAUAUAGACUUACAAUUAUUUAAAGGUUUUCCUCUCCUUAGAAAGGUUUUAUAAUGUUUUCCAACCAAAAAGUCCAAAUUGAUCAUUAAAGGGUUAUCGUCCAGUGUUCAGCUCUCUCACAUUUUGGUAUAACACACUGGGACAACAUCCUAUGUAGGCCCACCCACUUGCCAUGGAGAUGUACUAGUAUAUUGUUCUUUCAUAUUAUCUUUUUAGUGGCCCUCUAAUAAUAUUGUACUUGCACUCAUCAAGCUCAUUAAUGGUAGGGGAUCAUUAUGGGUAACAUUGUCAUGGAGCUAUGCUUUCUUAACCGCAAAGUCAAGGGAAUGCACCAGCUGAUGAGGUGUAUUAGGCUUAAAUAUACUGGCUGCAUCAAAGACCUUAUGUUAUCUAUGAUUCUAACUUUAGAUCGUAGGAACAGUAGAUUUUUGCCAACCUUUUGAGUCAUAAAUGCAUUUUCCAUGAUAAUUGUGCCUUCCAUAAUCUUCUGAAAGGUUAACCUUUCCAUCUGCUUAUAGAUGUAAUAUUGUAAUUGUGAUUAAUAUAUGAACUUGCAAAUCCAUAUGCUUUAGUUAGCUUCCAUUUUCUGUUAGUUGAUAUGCGCAAGAACAUAUGGUGCUUGGGAGGUUACUUACCUAAAUUCUGACUACUUUUGAUUACGCUUGAUUUGUGCAACAUAUGCACUUUCUACGUUUUGGAGCAAAACUAAUUCUGGUUUGCAUUUGGUCAACAUUUUUUCUGGUUGUUGAAUUUUUAUUGUUUAAUUCUUUGUUUCUUUCCAGGGACUGCAUAACUGUAUAGUGACGCUCAUACUAAGGUAUGAUGUAUUGACCCAUUAUGUCUAUUUCAUAUUAUGUACAGAAUUUCUGAUUAGAUCCUUAACUAUGCUUCAUACAAUCUUUUAAGCAGCAAAUUUAGAGGUUGUGGAAAGAAAACAUUGAAUUUGCCGCUUGUUGGGGAGGUCACUAUUCUGUCUCUAGUUGUCCUAACACUUUGUGUGGGAUUCGCCAUCUUCUGGGCAGUAAACAGAAAAGAAUCAUACUCUUGGGUUGGCCAAGACAUUCUUGUAAGCUAAUUUUAUAAUUUCCUCGUUAACUGAAAAACUGUUUGUGUGAUAGACCUUUCUUUGCAGUUGGAUAUUUAGUUGGUUUUAUGCAUCCUUAUCACCAAGUCUCACUCUUCUAGAUACUUACUCCAGCUGAAAACUGUUAAAAGUAAAUGAAAACUUUAUUUUCGCCAGGGGAUUGCUUUGAUGAUCACUGUUCUGCAGUUGGCUCAAUUGCCUAAUAUAAAGGUGUGUUUAUAGCUUUUAAAAUUCACCAGUGAACAUAGUUGAUUUCUUGUUUUGCUUUACCUAUGUCUACUAAUAUACCUUUCAUUUAUGUCAUUUCCUUUCUCUUUUAGGUUGCUACAGUGCUCCUCUGCUGCGCGUUUGUCUAUGACAUCUUCUGGGUUUUCCUAUCUCCUGCUAUAUUCCAUGACAGUGUUAUGAUUUCAGUAAGUUUUCUCUUUAGUUACAAUUUUAAGCUGUACCGCUGAUGUAGAUAUUUUGUCAAAUCAUAUCAUGAGUUAGAUGUCUAAAUAAAGAUUUGUAUAAGAAAAUGAAGAAAGUUAAAUUAAUUUAAAUUUUUAUUGUUUUUAGUUUUGAGAAAUGGUACUUUUUAGAAGCUAGAGGUUGGCAAUGGAAGGUAUCAACAUAAUGAAUGUGUUCGGCUUUGCAUUAAUACACCAUGUUUUAUUGAUUAUACUCACACUUAAUUAUAUGGAUUUCACACCUAUAUACAGGUGUAUCUUGUAAUUUAUUUGUAUUAACUUGGUAAGAAUGCUAUUAUCUCUUCCCAGUUUUCUUCCUCUUAAUAUUUUCAGCAUGAAGCCUUUUUGGUCUUUGAUCUCUAGAAAAUUAAAAAUUGUUCCCCUUUACAGGCAGGUGGUGUUAUACCACCUGUCUGUAUGAAGUUUCAGUCUUUUUCUAGUUCCAUUUUAUAAGGUAGAUAGGAAGGAGAACUUCCCUCUACUUGGUUUCUGUUCUUUCAAAAUAUGCCACUAAUGUUGGGCAUUAAAAUUUUCUUUUACUCUGAUGCCAUUGCCUUCCUGCAACAUGUAUAAAUGCACACCUUCAAAGUAGUAGCAGCUAAAUAACCUUAUUGAACACUUUUGGAUAUUUAUCUUGUCGUUGUGGAUUGUGGAACAUUAAAAAAUGCAACAAAAUUAUUUGAUUGUUUUGCACAGGAACUAGGUAAUGAUUUUAAUGAAGCUGCUCCGGAUUGUUUAAAACAUAAAGAUGUACCUGUAUGAUUUAAAUGUGCACACAUGCAUCUUUUAUCUUUUGAUGGUUUCAAUGUUUUUUUCUUGGUAUAUGUUAAUUACAUUUAUGUGCUCAAAACUGGAUGCUUUCAUUAUUAAGCUGGGUUAAACUCGCUUCUUGCCACACAGUUCUUACCAGAAGAUAAUUUAGCUCUUCAGUAUCUGUCACUAAUUUUUCGGGUGGUUGGAUUUGGCCUCUCUUGUAGGUUGCUAAAGGUAAGAAAGCUGGUGGAGAAUCAAUCCCGAUGCUUCUGAGAGUUCCUAAAUUAACAGAUCCUUAUAAAGGAUUUGAUAUGCUUGGCUUUGGGGAUAUUCUCUUCCCUGGUUUGCUAAUUUGCUUUACAUACAGGUAUUUUUGCACUUCAGUCAUCUUGCAAAGAUAAUUGUUGCUCUCUUCUAGAAAUGUAAAGAUUAGCACAUCACCUCGAUUAAAUGAUAAGAAACUUCUAUUUCGCAACCUACAAUUCUCUACCUUUGUUCUUAAAGAUAUUCUUGUUAUAGGCAUCUAUAAGGACAGUGAGUAUAUAUGAAUUUAGUCAUGAAUGUUUUGAUAUAUGAAGCUCUAGGUUUCAAUGGAAAUUCUUAUUUGUUAUGCAAACAUCUCUAAUUAUUCCAGUUUACAAGGGUUACAAAUCAUUCCGAUGACAAUGGUUAAAAAAUGGGAAAACAAAAAUUGGAUAAAUAUUUGUGGGAUUCAGCAGAGGAUGUUUUCAAAUCAACUUAGCGGCCCAGUUUCUCUAAAUUCACUCAUUCUUUCUACAGAAUGAUGGCGAUUUAGUUGACUUCUGAUUUAUCCCAUUUGGACCUCUUGUUGAUCUCCUUCUCGAUCUUUUUUGCAGAUUUGAUGAAGCUAAAAAGAAGGGGGUACUAAAUGGAUACUUCCUUUGGCUGAUGAUUGGUUAUGGGAUUGGUGGGUAUCUCUCUUUUGUUUCUUCCUUCUUAUUUUUUAUUUUAUAUGUUGUUCUUUUUGUUCUUUCUGCUUUGAUAUGCUCUUACUAUGUUAUUUCUUAUCCAGACUCCACUUGUGAGGUUAUACUGGAUAUUUUGUUGUUGUAGUGUGUUAUUUCAUAUCCGUUUUGUCUUAAUAUGUUACUGCUGCUCUUAGUUGUUUGAGACCACAAAAAGGGGUAAAAUUCAGAAAUAGCUUCAUUUCAUAAUUGAAAAUCAUUUUGAGAUUAUCGCUCCAAUGUACAAUUCUUUCGUUCAAUGCCUCUAAUUAUUCUAAUAAAACCUCUGCUUAUGAUUCUGCACAUAUCUAUGGAAUUUGCGCCACAUGUUAGUUCUGAUUUUUACGUGUGAACCAUGUUGAUUAUCUAUCAUUCUUUCUGAGUUUCUUUCUUUCCGUGUUUCUUUUUUAUUCUUGUACUUUCUCCCUCCUUUUUUCCCUUUUUAAUGCUGCAUUUCGUUCAUUCCUCGCCUUAAUCAACCUAAAAUCCGUACAGGUCUUUGCAUUACUUAUGUGGGCUUGUUUUUGAUGAAUGGACAUGGUCAACCUGCUCUCCUGUAUCUCGUGCCAUGCACAUUAGGUAUGACAAAAUUGAUGACCACUUGAUUGAAAUUGUUGUUUAGUUUUUUCAUCGUUUUAAAACCUUUAUCGUCUAGGAACUUGUGUGGUACUGGGGGCAGUGAGACGCGAAUUGAAAGACCUUUGGACCAAUUGCGAUGAAUCAAAACAAAUGGCUGAAGCGCGUCUAGGAAGUGCUUGAUAAAGCUUUUGAAGAAUAUAAAGGUGACAAAGCACAAGCCAUUGGUAUGUUUCAUGCUGCAAAAGUUGUAAAUAGAGUAUGAAGUUUUCCAAAGGAAUACUUCACUAUCCUUCUCUCUAAUGUAUAUUCAAUCAUUCAAUUGAUCAUUAUGUAACAUCACAAGAAUCACAAAACAAGGAGAAUGUUGUAACUCAUUGAAUUACUUUCAAUAGUAAAUAAUUCCCAUUUUGUUUUACCAUUUACAAAUAGUAGAGAAGUUCCAAUUUAUUUUUGUACCAGGUAAUUUACCCGCACUUUACGCAGGCAUAAAUAAUCUUUCUAAACUUUUGAACAACUUUUCCAAUAGUCGGUUGUUAUAAGAAAAAAAAAAGUAAAUUUUAGUAGGUUUUAGAAACAUUUCAACAGAAAUGAAAUGAUUUGACAUUAUCACAUAUUUAAAGAAUUGUAAAUAUAUAUUGAAUGAUUAAAAAUAUCUUGAGAUUUAAUUAUUUUUAUCUUUUACAUAAUUUAUCAUAAUAUAUGUUUGAUGAUAUAAUUGUGUUAAAAUUAAGUGAUGUUUUUAUGUAGCGAUUAAACAUAAUUUUUUUAUUUUUUUGUAGAUGAAAAAUAUAGAAUCAGAUAAUUUUAUGGUUAGAAUAACUCCUUGAAAAAAAAAUUUAUGUAAAAGUUUUCGAUAAUCAAUAUUAGUUAUAAAUACGUUAAGACCGUUAAAAAUGUACACCACAACAACAUAAAUAAAUUCUUUUUAGUGACAAUCUAUUUGGCUGAGGUCAAAUGUUCACUACUUUUCGUUAUUGUUACUUUGUUACUCUAACAAAAUUUAUAGAAGGAGAAAAAUUAUUUUGGAACAACAGCAAAAUAAUAUUGUUGACCUUUUUAGAAAUUCAUUCUUUAUUAAACUGCUGUUUUGAAAGCCCUUCUAAUAGCAUUAUGAAAGUACAAGUAGAUCAAAAUGUUGAAUUCUAGACUCAUGUUAAAAAAAUAUUCUCGAACAUUAAAAAAUUAAAAAUGAGUCAAACCUAGAUAAUUCAAAUGCUCAGAAAUAACUUAGGACAUAAAGGACAACAAAUCUAUGUUAAUAGACAUAUCUUUUGUAGUUUAAGAUAUUAUUUUUAUUUAGAGAAGCUUUUUAGUGACAAUCUAUUUGGCUGAGGUCAAAUGUUCACUACUUUUCGUUAUUGUUACUUUGUUACUCUAACAAAAUUUAUAGAAGGAGAAAAAUUAAUUUGGAACAACAGCAAAAUAAUAUUGUUGACCUUUUUAGAAAUUCAUUCUUUAUUAAACUGCUGUUUUGAAAGCCCUUCUAAUAGCAUUAUGAAAGUACAAGUAGAUCAAAAUGUUGAAUUCUAGACUCAUGUUAAAAAAAUAUUCUCGAACAUUAAAAAAUUAAAAAUGAGUCAAACCUAGAUAAUUCAAAUGCUCAGAAAUAACUUAGGACAUAAAGGACAACAAAUCUAUGUUAAUAGACAUAUCUUUUGUAGUUUAAGAUAUUAUUUUUAUUUAGAGAAGGUUUUGUUUUAUACUCUUCAAAUUAAGUUUGCCGAAAAUAGUAAUAACUCACACAAAAAAUAUUUAGAAGAGUUGAAUGAGAAGGAAAAAAAGAAAAACAUUAAAAGGACGAAAGUUUUGUCCAAGUGAGCUCUUGUCACUAAAACAAACUAUUGGUGGAGACUAUUAUCGAUAUUAGCAGCGACUGAUUUUGCCACUAAAACAUUCUUUUAGUGGCGGCAUUAUAGGCAUUGGCAGUGUCUAAUGUUGCCACUAAAACAAUCAUUUAGUAGCGACUAUUAUAGGUAUUAGCGGCGAUUAAUCUUGUCACUAAAACAAAAUAUUAGUAGCUACUAUUAUAGGCAUUAGCAGCGACUAAUGUUGCCACUAAAAACAUACUUUUGGUGGCGACUAUUAUAAGCAUUAGCAGCGACUGAUGUUGCCACUAAAAUAUACUUUUAGUGGCGACUAUUAUAGGAAUUAGCAGCGACUAAUGUUGCCACUAAACAUACUUUUGGUGGCAACUAUUAUAAGCAUUAGCAGCGACUAAUGUUGCCACUAAAACAUACUUUUAGUGGCGACUAUAAUAAAAUUAGCAGCAACUAAUGUUGCCACUAAAACCUACUUUUGGUGGCGACUAUUACAGGCAUUAGCAGCGACCAAUGUUGCCACUAAAACAUACUUUUAGUGGCAACUAUUAAUGUAUAGCAGCGACUAAUGUUGCCACUAAAACAUACUUUUGGUGGCGACUAUUAGUGUAUAGCAGCGAUUAAUGUUGCCACUAAAACAUUCUUUUGGUGGCAACUAUUAUAGCCAUUAGCAGCGACUAAUAUUGCCACUAAAACAUACUUUUGGUGGCGACUAUUAUAGGCUUUAGCAGUGACUGAUGUUGCCACUAAAACAUACUUUUAGUGACGACUAUUAUAGGUAUUCGCAGCGACUAAUGUUGCCACUAAAACAUUCUUUUAGUGGCGACUAUUAUAGGCAUUAGCAGCUACUAAUGUUGCCACUAAAACGUACUUUUGGUGGCGACUAUUAUAGGCAUUUGCAGCAACUAAUGUUGCCACUAAAACAUUCUUUUAGUGGCAACUAUUAUAGGCAUUCGCAGCGACGAAUGUUGCCACUAAAACAUUCUUUUAUAUAUAUAAUGUUACGAAAUUUAUAAAAUAAUACUUAUAACAUAUUAGUCAUUUAAAGUAAAACAUUACAAAGGAAGUGAUAAUUAUAACAUUUUAUCAUUUAUCUUUCAAUCAAUCAUCUUUAAUUUGAUUUUAUAAUUUUUCAUUUUGCUUCCAGGAAGUGUUACUAUUCAACAUUUUUGAGGAAUCAAGUGCAUAAACUGGUAAUAUUAAAUAUUCUAAUAAAUAAAUAAUUGUUGGUGUAGAGAUAAAUAAAUUCCAAUUCUAGCGUGUAGAAAGUUCAGCACUAUCUUUUUUUUUUACAUAUAUCAUUUUGAAGUUCCCAUUUAAAUGUAUCGUAAGUAAUUAUUAAAAUGAAAAUUAAAUGGAAAAUGUAUCAUAUUGGACAACAAUUCAACUCAUUAUAUAUACUUGAAAGGGAAAAAUAUUACACAAAACUAUUCAGUUUGUUUGGUUGUUUUUUAAAAAUUAAUAUACUAGAGUGAUGAAGUUCAAUUUGAAAUACACUUCUAUUCCACACAGUGUCGAAAACACAUCUAUUACUUCAAGAAAAUAUUUACAACUUGCAGUAAACUUGAGAAAUCUGUCCAUACUUCAUAUUAAAUAUGAACAAUUAAUUUAUUGUGUAGUUAUCUAUUUCUUUGGGAUUAAAAGAUGUUGCAGUCUAGUCAUAUUCCUCUAUAGGUCAUCCGGCACAUCCUUGAACUUAUGUCAAAAGUUUAUUAAUUUUUUGUCUUCUUUUCCUGGUUCACUUCGCACAUCAAGGUGCGAUAAAGUUUUUAAGUUCUUUAUGUGUUUACAAUGACAUAUCAAAUUUGAAUUUUGUCUUCAAGAUAUGGUAGUACAGAUUUUUAAGGAAUUCUUUUACUCUACUUUCAACAGUUUUAGUAGAGAAAACUUGCAUGAAUACUCAAUUAACGUGUGUUAUUUAAUCUAUACUAAUAAAUACUUAUAAUAAUAAUUUUCAAGAAACAUAAACAACAAAGUUUAAAAGAUAUACUCAAAAACAAUAAUUAAUAAAAUAAGCAUAAAUUAAUGACUGUGAAAAAAAAAUCAAGAUAUGUAACAAUAGAAUGAAAUAGAAAGGAAAAAGUUGAGCUCACUAAAUGCAUAGUGUACCCUUAGGAAAAUUAUUCCCCUCUAGUAUUCAAGAUUUAAAGGAAUAGAUUCUCUCAGGAUAUGACGAUUCUAUUCGUCAUUGUAUUGAUACAAAAAACAAUGGUGAAGUGAGUCACUCAACAAGAGCAAAAGAAGUAGUACAAAUUUUUUGUUAUUUUAAAAUGAGAGGAAAUCUCUAUAUUUAUAAGCAACAAAAGGUAGUGUGAACAAAUAUUUAUUGUGUCUUAUCAGAAAUGUCACAACUCUUUUGGAAAGGUCACAACUUUUCAUAAAAGUCGCAACUUUUCAUAAAAGUCACAACUUCUCAUAAAAGUCACAACUUUUCAUAAAAGUCGCAACUCUUCAUAAAAAUCACAACUCUUCAAAAAAAUCACGAACUCUUCAAAAAAGUUGCAACUCUUCAUAAAAUUCGCAACUCUUCAUAAAAGUCACAAAUUUUAUGAAAGGGGAAGACUAAUUUUGAAAAUAAAUAAAUUAAAAGAGAAUCCUGUAUUUUGGUGGCGCCAUGUAGGCGGGCCUGCAGUUCUCUUUUAUAUAUAUACUAGUAAAAUUACCCGCGUUUCGUGCGUGAAUUUAAUAUCACAAAAUUUAUAAAAUAAUACUUAAAACAUAUCAGUCAUUAAAACUAAAACACUAUAUUAUCUUACAUAUAAGAUUACGUAGUAACAAACAUUAAUAAUGUAAAAAAAAAUGAAAAUUCCUACAUCUUAUCAUUUAGCUUAAUAAUGUAAGCAUAAAUUAUAAAUUAAUGAUUGUAAAAAUGCAUAUCAGGAUCUGUAACAUAAACAAUAGUGUCAGUGAGCCACUAAACAUGAUCAAAGUAUACAAAUAUUUAAUUGGGAAGAAGAAGAAGAAGAGGUUCAGAAUUUUCGUUGUGUUAAAAUGAAAGGAAAUCCCUCUAUUUAUUGACAACAAAGGGUAGUGUGGACAAAUGUUUAUUGUGUCUUAUCAAAAAUGUUACAACUAUUUGGAAAAGUUACAACACUUUGGAAAUGUCACAACCUUUCAUAAAAGUCAUAACUUUUCAUAAAAGUCGCAACUCUUCAUUAAAAUCGCAACUCUUCAUAAAAAUCACAAUUUUUCAUAAAAGUCACAACUCUUCAUUAAAGUCGCAACUCUUCAUAAAAGAGAAGACUAAUUUUGUAAAUAAAUAAAUUAAAAGAGAAUUCUGGUUUGUGGUGUCGACACGUAGACGAGCCUAAGGUUCUCUAUUAUAUAUAUAUAAUAUAAUAUGAUCUGAUGAUUAGCAAAUGUUAACCUUUUGAUACUCCUUUUUGGGACUCUUUUGGAUAUUGUGUGAAUUCCAAAACGAGGUUCAAAUUAUUACAUAGAUAAAAUCACUAGGCGAUUUCUUCCUAUUUGUCUUAGCCUUGGUGUACAAAUUUAUUUGGUAUCUAUUGAUGGUGGGAGGUAACAAAUACCCUAUAAAAUUAGUUGAGUUGUUGGUGAGAGGUGACAAGUAUGAAGUAUUUCGUGGAAUUAGUUAAGGUGCAUGCAAGCUGAUCUGGGCAUAAAAAAAAAAAGAUCCCUCACAUGGAUUUAAUUAAAGAUCUAGUGUAUACCAUAAAAACUUAUAAUAUUACUAGUGGAACUUUUAUUUCAUUUCAAAAAAGGGAAAGAAUAUAUAGCGUCAGCCUUUGUUGAAAGUGAAAAAGUAUUUUCCAAAUUCCAUAUACAUUGGUAUCGUAGAAGAACAAACACUAUUCUUCUUCUUCAACAACUUUGAGCUUCAGAUAUGAAAUAGCCUUUGUUACGAUUACAAAUUCAAAUUUAAUCGGACCUCAAUCGAGUAUAGAAGUGAAAGAAGCAUCCAGGAAUUAGCAUUGCAGUACUACGUACCUCUGGUUUUCUACUCAUUUAAGAAUGUAAGUUUGAAUUUACAAAUCUUUGGGCAAUUGUUUAUAAGUUUUAUGCAGAGCGUGUCUUUUUUUUUGUUUUUGAAAUUCUAACAGAAGUUACAAGGUUCUGAAAUUUUGGGAAAAGAAAUUACUUAUUCGGUUUACUUUUACUUGUCCGCUUUGGACUUUGCAGAUGCUUAAGAAAUAAUUGAAAUGAGUAUUUUUACAAUAUUAAGUCUUGGAAAAUAAUUUGGGGAAUAAGUAAUUAAUACUCAUGUUAAAACAUGGGAAAAAAUCAUCUUUUUUUAUAUGUUAGAAGUGACCAAUAAAAAUAAAAAUCUAUUUUUAAAAUAGUGGACAAGUAAAAGUGGACGGAGGGAUUGACAAAUAAAAACAAAAAUCUAUAUUUGAAAUAGUGGACAGGACGAAGGGAAUAUUAGGUGAAGACCUUCAAAAUUAUGGUCAGCUGAGCUAUUUGUUCUUCCAAGAUGUAGCAUAAAAAAGUUCUGCUACAUCCAUCUUAAGAAAAGAAGAAGAAUGCACAAGCUAUAUAUAGCUUAUACCCAAAAAAAAAUAGAAGGGAAAAGUGUCUCGUAUCCCCUCAACUUUGCGACUGAGAGAUGAUAUCCACAUUACAAAAGUGACUCACAUAUACCCCUACCGUUACAUAAAUGACCCAGAUUAUUUAAUAGACCUAGUAGAUUGGUUAACUUUACUUAUUUGCCAAUCUAUUUAUUCUAGGGCGAGCUAUCAGUUCUAACAUAGUUAUUUCUACUUCUACAAGCAGUAAAGAGAUCAAGAUAACUGACAUGGAAAAGGUUCUGAAGGGUGAAAGAACUUCCACCUCAAUUGAUGAGGAAGUGGUUGGUUUUGAGGAUGAUGCUGAUAACAUAAUUCAACAAUUGACGGGAGGAACGAAGGAACUAGACAUUGUCUCGAUUGUUGGAAUGCCUGGACUAGGCAAAACAACUUUGGCUACAAUGGUUUUCACUCAUCAUUGUAUUGAUAAACACUUUGACGUUCGAGCAUGGUGCUCUAUUUCAAAAGAAUAUAAUUUGAGGAAGGUGUUCUUAUAGAUUCUUAAACAAGUUGUAGGCAAUAUGGAUGAUAGCCCAUCUGAAGACUUGCCUGACAAGUUGCGCAAGAGUCUAAUGCACAAGAGAUACCUCAUUGUUUUAGAUGAUAUAUGGGAAGUUGAGGCUUGGGAAGAGUUGCAGUUAUCUUUCCCGGAUGAUGCAAAUGGAAGCAGAGUAGUGCUAACAACUCGAGAUGAGGAAGUGGCAAGGCAGCUUAAGCACCACAGUGAUCCAUAUUUUCUUCGAUUCCUCACUGUGGAAGAGAGCUGGGACUUGCUUCAGAAGAAAAUAUUUCAAGGAGAGAUUUGUCCCCCGGAGCUACUUACAACAGGAUUACAAGUUGCUCAAAACUGCAAGGGAUUACCUCUUGUAAUUGUUUUGAUUGCUGGAAUUAUUGCAAAGCAAAGGGAAGCCUCUUUGUGGCUUGGGUUCGCAGAAGAUUUGAGUUCCCAUGUUUUAGAAGAGCAAAGCAUGAAGAUAAUAGAAUCAAGUUAUGACCAUUUGGAAGACCAUUUAAAGUCUUGCCUGCUUUACAUGGGAUUGUUUCCAGAAGACCAUCAAUUUCCAGUAUUCAAUUUGCUAAACUUGUGGAUAGCAGAAAAUUUUAUACACAGCGUGGACACAGAGAAUGUUGAAGAAGCAUCUAAAAUUUGCUUGAAUGAUCUAGUGAACAGAAGCUUAGUAAUUGUUUCUCGGAGGAGAGAAGAUAAUGGUGAGAUAGAGUACUGCACUGUUCAUGAUGUAGUGCAUGAGUUUUGCAUGAGGAAACUUACAAAAGAAAAGUUUAUGCAGUACCGACCUUCAAAGGAACCCCAGUAUAUUAGGUUUAUCCAUGAUGAUCUUGUUCACCAAUUGUUGCAGUAUACAAAAUCAUUGGAUAGGAUUCCAAUGUUGGCAGGCUUGAAGAAAGGAGAGUCUUUUGCUCAAUGUCAUGAUAGGUCUCUUAAGUUUAUUGCUCGUCCAAAGUCCCGUGUUUGGGAAAAGACUUUUCCUUUACUCGAUAACUUAAGAUUUAUUCGGGUGUUGCAUUUGUCAGAUGUCUGUUUGGAAAGACGUUCUUGGACUACAGCAGUGCAAGCAGUAACUCACUUGAGAUAUCUUGCAAUUUGUACCCAAGAAUUUGAUUUCCAGUGGGUAUCACAUCUACACUAUCUACAAACUUUGCAGGUGGUGGGGAAUAGUGAUUUUUCAAGGCGUUUCGAGACAUCCCCUUCUAUUUGGAAAAUGAAGAAGCUGAGACAUGUGGAUAUACAGGAUUUUUCCUUCAAAUGGGAAGACAACGAUCGAGCACUUUUCAAAGAAUCUUCAGAAACUUUGUUACCAGCGUUGAAGACUUUUGGGAAGUGUCGUAUAUACUUGGCUGAUAAGACUCCGGAGUUCUGGUGGAGAUUUCCAAAUAUUGAACAACUCAAGCUCCACUUUACUGAACCAGGUUAUGAAGUUGAUAUGCCUAAUCUUGAAGAACUCCCACUCCAAUCUCUCGAACUGUGUUUUUCACGCCCGAUUUCAGGCUACAAAUCCAUUGGACAGGCCCGCUGUGUUGUCUUCCCUUCAAAUCUAAAGGAUUUGUCCCUUGAUAGACUUUGCCUAACAGAAGAAGCUUUUUCACAACUUGCAAGUCUGCAAAACCUUGAAAGUCUCAAACUACGUAAUAUAUACUUUAAGCCGGAAAGUAGAUUCAGGCAGGCUGGAUAUAGCAUCUGUUGGGAUGUCAGUGAUUAUGAGUUCCUAGCACUCAAAUACUUGCUUUUACAGAAUAUUCUCGUGACAGAAUGGCGCUCCUCAGAGUCAUCCUUCCCUGUGCUGGAGAAAUUAAUUAUAAACAAAUGCACAAUUCAGUGUGAUCAGAUCCCUUCUAGCUUUGUGGAUAUCCCGACAUUGAAGUUGAUUAAGUUGAUUGGCUGCAACUACUCACUUGAGAAGUCAGCUUUCAACAUUAAAAAUGAAGUGGAAGAGAUUGCAGGAUGUGAUAGUCUCCAAGUUCAUAUUCAGUAUCAACCUGACAGUAAGUUAUAUCAUUAAGUGCCCGUUUAACCAUGGAUAGUAUUCCAGAAAACUGUAUUGACUUAAGAGAAGCUUUAUUUAGGUAAAAUAAUUCAUUCAGGUAACAUUUUGAUCUUUCUUUCUUUCUUUAUAGGAUAUGCAGAUGCAGAUUUUGCAGCAGAAUGCUUCAGUGUUUGGGAUCAAGAAAACAACCGUAGCUCAUUGACGCCUUUUGGCUUGAGGUUGCAAAUGACUUAUGUUCCCAUGUUUGUAAUGACCUAUUAGUUCGUUUUGAGUUUUAGAAUCCCUUUCCCCUAUUUGAGACUUUCAGUAUGUUCAUUUGGUGUUUUAUGACUUGUGGGUAUGGGUGGCACUGGUUCCGAGGGGCUUGGGUGAAUUUUGGAAUGUUAGAACCAAAGUCAAUGUUGUGAUAAGACAGGCUCGAAUUCAAGAUUUGAGUAGGUUCAUAGGAUGAUUUUGAACUUGUACAUAUGUUCGGAUUGCAACUCGAGAGGUUCAGUGAGAUUUGGCCUUUUGGGUGCUAAUUUCCUAUUUCAGCUGCACCAGAUUUUUUUUUUCUAGUGCAUCAGGUUUUUGUGCUUUGUGAUCAUGGGAGGAGGAGUGGAAAUCGCGUAAGGUUGUUUUGCCUGGGGUUGGUUGAUACAAUUGUGGUAAAGAGUCAGCUUUUACUUAUAUCGCAUCAUAACUCCUAUUCGCGCAAUUUAUUUAGUUGUUGGGUUGAAUCUGUGCAUAUCUUCUCUGUAUGUUGGUUUUGUGCAUUUUUUUUAUAACAAUGUUCGGUUAGAUAUACUUCUAUGUUGUUAUUCUAUGUCUGUUGAGAUCACAUAAGCUGAUCAGGAUGCAACACAAGCAUUUGAAAGACCAACCCUCGUUACUAUCGAUGAUACUUGUUGAAUACACAUUAUAUUUUUGUACUCAUACUACACUUAUUGCAUUUUUUGUACAGUAAUGUAUCCCCGUGAUAGCGGCUGUCAUGACAGAGUUUAGAGUUUGCUUGGAGAUAUCAGGGUGAGCUACUUGGCUAGUUCGUAGCAUCGUGGACUCACUUUCUUAUUUUACUGGUAAUUUUCUGUUUUCAUCCACAUAGUGUAUCAAGAAGUACCCCUGAGAAUUCUCCAGGUGAGAUUCCUUGAGAGACUUAAUGGGGCAUUCUUCGUGUUCGAGGAUGAUGAUGGUUGCUUCUGGGCGGGGGAGGAGCCAUGUAGAGUCAAGCGGUUCAUCUGAACCAUCUUUGACGAAAACUCACUGUUAUAUAUAGUAAAUGUGUAAUACUUUGACUUCUUCGUGUGUUUACUUUUUCAUAUUUUGAAACUCUUAGUAAAAGUCAAGGUUCCGCUAUUGCUUCUGGGAUGAAAAAUAUUGCAGAUGUUGAUUAAAUUGAGGAGAUGCACGAAGUCACUUGAGGAUUCAGCUCUGAACAUUAAAGAAGAAGUAGAAGACAUCACAGGAUGUGAAAGUCUCCAAGUUCUGUCUUGUUUGAUUUAGAGAUGAUGGUGUAAAAACACAGUGGAAAUAUUUAUCUUUUUUCGAGUUUUCUAUUUGAACUAUCAAGUGUUUGUAUUUUCUAUUUGAACUAUUACGAACUAUUUAUUGAAACAUGCUUCGAAAUUAAUGAGUCAGCUUUCAUGUGGACGAAAUCUUAUGAGCAAAUUAAGUUGUUAUAUAUCUUUUGAAGAUUGUAUUCAAACACUUGGUCUAGUUAUCUUCGAUAUAUAUUCAAUCGAUUAUUUUGUAAGAAUUUCCAACUGGAGUCAAAGAAUAGACUCAAAAUUACACUCCCUCACUUCCAAUCUAUUUGUUUUGAUAUAUUUUUUUUUAGUUUGCUUAAAAAAGAUAUUUUUUUCCCCACAAUUUUUUAAUAUUACAAAAUUAAAGAAUACGUUAAAACUCACACAUAGUGAAUUUGGCAUACAAUCGCUGGAAAGAGCCCGCCUCUGUUGAAAGUUCAAAGUAUAUUCUUCCUUCAUUCAACUUGCUUGUUUUUUGUUUUUUUCAAUAAACUGUGAAUAUUUAACUUGCUUGUUGCCUGCUCUUUCCUAGUGACCUCUCAUAUGUGCACCAAACAAAGAUUCUUUUUCUUCUUCAAUUUGAGCUACAGAUCUGAAAUUGCCUUUGUUAUUUUUGUGGACAUAAAUUCAAAUUUAUUCGAACUUCAAUAAACAUAGAGGAAUUAGCACUGCAGUACUACGUACCUCUGGUUUUCUUUCUCAUUUCAAUGUAAGUUUCAAAUUUCUUCCUAUUCUUACUGCUCCAAUUGAGAAUCUGCCUUCUUUUAUUUUUGAAAUUCUGACAAAAGUUACACAUUUAUGAAAUUUUGGGGAAUUACUUGAAAAUUAUGGUCAGCUGAGCUCUUUGUUCUUUCAAGAUGUAACAUACAAUUGCUCUUUAAUUAAUGUGUCUAUAUAUAGCUUAUGUCUUUGUAUCUACUAUCUCUCUAUAUCCAAAAAAGAAAAAAACAAGUCUUUACCCAUUUUGCAUGUGGAGACUUGAUUCUUUUUCGUUAUAUCUAGUGAAGGUGAUAUUCGAUCUCACGAUCUUUUUUAUGGGCCAAAUAAGUGAAUUUUUUUUUAAUAUAAUGACGGUAAGAUUCAAUUUCAGGAUCUUUGACUACUUUGAUAUUAUGUCGAAAUAUGUGAAUAUCGCUCUUCCGUUAAUUAAUUUUAUUUUCAACAACUUCUUCACAUAUUUACUUGUUAUUGAGCCGAGAAUCUAGCGAAAACAAACUUCCUGUUAAUUUUUUGUAAAUUUAAGGGACCACAAUUGUUAAGUGCAUACUUAAAAGAAGUCUUUUUCUCACUCCCACUCAACUAUUAAUUACUAUAUUAUCCCUCCUUCAUUCACCAUAUGCUUUCAUAUUCCAAAUCCUUUUAAGUUAUAAGAAGCUGCAGCUUCUCUCUCAUAAUUGAAGGUCAAAUUUCUUCUUAGACUCCUGUUUUUUAUGUAUAUAUAGUUUGUCUAUAUUUAUCAUUUAUCAUAAGUUAACACUUUUAUGUCUUAUUUGAGAAGAUCAUGUAGUUUAUGUUCUGAACUUCUGAUUAUGAAUUUUUUUUUCUCUCCAAAAAUGUCACACCAGAUAUAGAAAGGUCACUUGGAUUAAAUCCAUAUUUUUUGGCUGUGUAAACUUAAUUGUACUAAGGUCUAAGAAUAAGUAGCUAGCUAUGUUGCUGGGACUCUCCAGAAACCCUGUGGGAUCCUUAAAAAUAUAUACUCCCUCCGUCUCAUUCUAUGUGUUACCGUUUGACUCGCUUGACAAAGUAUUUAAGAGAAAAAUGAAGACUUUUGAAACUUGAGGUUUUAAAUAAUCUUUAGAUAUUUGUGUGGUUGUAGGUAAAAGAGAAAUUUUAAAGUUAAAUUGUUUCUAGCAGUAGUAAGGUGAUAUUCUUUGUUAGAUAAACUAAAAAGAAAAGGUUGCCACAUACAAUGAGAUGGAGGGAGUACUAUAUUUGAAGGAUUUGACACGAACCCUUUCAAUAUUUUUGUUGGUAAGUACUUUGAGGAAAGUGAUUUCAAGAAUAGGAAAGCUUAAAAAUGGAGACAAAGAGAGUUAAAAUUUGCUAAAAGACGAUAACUUUGGCAGGUAGAGAGAACAAUGGAUAUUUGAGGUCGCGAAAAAGUGAUAUUUUAGAUGUGUUUUUGACUAUUAACUCUGUCACGCCCCGAGCCUACACCCUGAGCGGGACCGGCACUCGGAGACCAUUGCUGGCCCCAAGCGAACCCUUGGCCUGGCUUUCUUAACUCAGCGGAAACUUAACUCAAUAGAAUAACUCAAUGCCAUGCAAAGACAUAAAAAAUCUUAACUGAUAAAAUCUGGC